rnacentral:rRNA from 1 species
AGGCAUAGUACGAUCAGUACGGCGAGUGAAGCGGCAAGAGCUCAAAUUUGAAAGCUGGCUCCUUCGGGGUCCGCAUUGUAAUUUGCAGAGGAUGCUUCGGGUGCAGCCCCCGUCUAAGUGCCCUGGAACGGGCCGUCAUAGAGGGUGAGAAUCCCGUAUGGGGCGGGGUGUCUGCGUCCGUGUGAAGCUCCUUCGACGAGUCGAGUUGUUUGGGAAUGCAGCUCUAAAUGGGUGGUAAAUUUCAUCUAAAGCUAAAUACUGGCCGGAGACCGAUAGCGCACAAGUAGAGUGAUCGAAAGAUGAAAAGCACUUUGAAAAGAGAGUUAAACAGCACGUGAAAUUGUUGAAAGGGAAGCGCUUGCAACCAGACUCGCUCGCGGGGUUCAGCCGGGCUUCGGCCCGGUGUACUUCCCCGCGGGCGGGCCAGCGUCGGUUUGGGCGGCCGGUCAAAGGCCUCCGGAAUGUAGCGCCCUUCGGGGCGCCUUAUAGCCGGGGGUGCAAUGCGGCCAGCCUGGACCGAGGAACGCGCUUCGGCACGGACGCUGGCAUAAUGGUUGUAAACGACCCGUCUUGAAAACCGGACCAAA